AAUAUUCAAUUUUAGAUCAUUUUCACUAUAUGAUUAAUGUUGGAAUUUAGAAGUCAACUUUUAAGCAGUAGGGUAUUGUCCUGUUUUAAAUUGAUUUCCGGAUAUUACUGAUUAGUAACCAAUCUAAAUUUGUGUAACUUUCACUUAAAAAUUCUUUGGAAAUCCGGUUCGCUAUCCAAUGUGAACUUGACACUCACAAUAUGGCGGACAGGCUAACGUGUCGUUUCUGCAAGGCGACGCAGUCAGUGUGUUUACGAUAGAGGGCGCUGUGGCCAACAGUGAAACAACAGCUGGCGGUUAGCAAGCGCCACGGAGCGGGACUCUUGAAAUUAUUAACAGUUUGCCAGACUUUAUGUGGGUAUUUCAGCUACAAAUAGUCAGACAGAAAUAAAUAUGGGAUUAGUUCAAAAGAUCCUUAGCCAAAACAAUACAGUAAUGGGACUAUUUUUGCUUCAAACUAACGUUUAAGAAUGAAUUAUCGCGAUGAAACUGAACUCUUAGAUCGUCGUCUAAUAAUCUCUUAGUAUUUUGGACGCUAACUAGCUAAGGGACGAAGAACAGCAACUGCAAAGUGGGCACUAUGGCUCCUAAGAAGCAGCAGCCGAAGCCGACAGCAGCCAACGUCUCCAGCUCAUUGGACCUGGAGUCCGAGGACCUCAGCCUGGAGACAACAGUGCCUACCACCGAGGAUGUGUCUUCGUCCGACGAGCAACGCAACGGCUCCCAGAAGGUGACCCGUCAGCUGAUCGAGAGGAAGGAGCUGCUGCACACCCUCCAGCUGCUGAAAAUAGAACUUUCUCAAAAGAACCUCAUCAUAGACAACAUGAAGGCUGACCACAUGUCAAAGGUUGAGGAACUGGAGGAAAAGCUAAACGACGCCAUACAUCAAAAACAAGUGUUGUCCCUUAAACUGGACAGCCAGCUUAAGGUUGCACAAGAAGAAAACAAGAAGCAGCAGGCUCUGCGUAAGCAGGAGAUGGAGACCAUCCUGCUGAGGCAGCAGCAGCUGGAGGAGACAAACCGCCAGCUGUGUGAGAAGGCCGGAGAGCUGCGGCGGUCUCUCCGAGAUCUGGACAUUCCCCAGGACCGCUACCAGGAGCUCCGUGGCGUGCCUGAUGACAAAAUCAGCAUCCAGGAAUACGUAGCUAUGCGUUUCUAUGAGGCUGUGACUCCUCUCCGCUCUCAACUGGCUCAGCUCGGUGAGCAGAGGAGCUACCUGGCAGAGGAGCUGGACGUACACAGAAACAAGAUGAAGCUUUUGAUGGAGAGCUACGAGGAAGAGCGUCGGCUGCGUGCCGAGCUGGAGCUGAGGAGCCAGAGGCUGACCUUAGAGCUGGCCGACACCAAACAGAACAUCCAUCAGGGCGACUAUCGCAGAGAGAACUACCCAAAUAUCAAGCGGGAGCGCGAUAACUUUGAAACGGAGCUGAAGGAGUUGAAGAGGAAGUUUGAGACGGUGGACUUGUCUCACGCUGCACUGACCAGAGAACGGGACACACUGAGCAACGAGGUGGCGACAUUGCAGCAGUCAGUGAAUCUCCUGCAGAAGGACAAGGAGUACCUGAACAGGCAAAACAUGGAGCUCAGCAUCCGCUGUGCGCACCAAGAAGAUCGCGUAGACAGACUGCAGGUACAACUGGAAGAUGCGAAGAAAGCCAGGGAGAACACGUAUGAAAAAUAUGUAGCAUCCAGGGACUACUAUAAGUCAGAGUACGAGAACAAGCUCAGAGAGGAGUUGGAGAACAUCAGACUGAAAACCAGUCAGGAGAUCGAGAACCUGCAGAGAACCUCCAGAGAACUGUAUGAGAGGGAGAACAGGAAUCUGCGCGAAGCCAGAGACAAUGCAGUCCUGGAGAAAGACCGAACCGCCGCCGCCGAGAAGGACGCUCAGGCGAGAUACGACCAGCUGCUGGAGCAGUUUCGUCAGCUCCAGCUGGGCACUGACAGCCGGGUGGCGGAGCUGUCCAGCCAGGCCAAGCUGCACUCCUUCGAAGCCGAGCGCGCUCACUUGCUCAAGGAGGAGACGGCGAAGGCGCUAGCUCAGUGCCAGGUGGAGUGUGAGAAACAGCAGAAGAAGCUUGAGUUAUUGACUCAGGAGUUUUACAGGCUCCAAACAUCGUCUGAGAAGCGGGUGGCGGAGCUUCAAGCCCAGAAUGCCGAGCAGGCGUCCCGACUGGAGACGUACGAGAAGCUGGAGCAAGAGUUGGACCAGGUCACCAUGCAGGCGGCUGAAAUUGAGAAUGAGGAGGAGGCAGAGAGAGUUCUGUUCUCAUACGGAUACGGCGCAAAUGUUCCCACAACGGCCAAAAGAAGACUGAAGCAAAGCGUUCAUCUGGCUCGCCGGGUGCUGCAGCUCGAGAGGCAGAACACCUCACUGAGGAGGGACCUGGACAGACACCAGAACCAGACAGGACAGAUGUCUCAGGAGCUGUCCGCGGCCAACCAGCUGCUGCAGCAGACUCAGCAGCCGUACAGCUUCCUGAUCGAGACGGUGAGAGAAAAGGAUGCGGCGAUCAGCACGCUGAGGGAGCGCGUCUCCUCUCUCGAGGACGACGUCAGUUCUUUGAGGAAAGAGCGAAAUGCUUUGCAGCAAGUGAAGAAUGACAUUUUAGCCGACCUGGAGCGACUUCUCAACAAUAGAGAGGAGUUGGCAAUAAUGAAGCAGGCCCUGAUCAGCAUGCGGUCCAGGCAGAGAGUGGACCCAGACCUGUUUGGAGCCGGUAACGGCGCUACGAAGGCCUCUGGAACAGCACAGCAGAAGUCCAAACGUGUUGGCGGGACCGACGAUGAGGAAUCGUCAGACAAGCCCAAGCCUACUGUUUUUAAAAAUCCCUUUCAGAUUAAACAUCUCUUUUACAAGAAAAUCCUGGCCAAGACCGGUCCUGGUUAGUUUCAUUUAAGCUCUUUAGUGAAGUCCAUCCGAGUAGAGAAGAGCUCUGGAACAAGUCCCAGAAGUGAUCCGAAACCACUAGUAGUCCAAAUAUAGACUCUGACCGAUGAUCGACCAAAAGAGAAGUUCCUGAUUGGUACCAAAGGCCAAAGCAGAAACACAAAUAAGAAUUCACACAAUGGAACUCACUCAGGAUUUAAACAACUGUACAUUUCAGUACUCUAAAUCUGUUUUUUCUUGUAAAUUGUGUUACUUUUGAACAACUUUUCAAAUACAAACUAGAACCAAUUGC